AGUGGGGGAGCGAGUCAGAGAGAGGGAGGGAAGAGAGGAAACAGUUCCUCUCCCGUUAAAGGAUGUCAAGUCUUCAGCUGAGAGCCGUUGAGGAGCACUGAUCCAUCCAUCCUUCCUGCUCGUCCAGAUGAAUCUCACCACUGCGACUCCACAGCCUCGGCACAGACUUGUAGGUGGAGGAGACGAGGAGCUGCUCUGUGUCAUGAAGACGAAGGUGAAAGUGUUCUCCUGCCCCAGGCUGAGUGGAGUGCACUGCAUACAAAGGUAGACUGAUGUUCAUAUUCUACUAUGGACGGUGUGUGGUACAGACUGACAUCGACUGGAGCAGAACAGGCCACGAGGACGAUUCAGCUCUACCAUAGGUGUGUCAUCAUGUGUGUGUCUGUGUGCAUCAAUACUGAAACCAUUAGUCUGUAUAUAUCCACCUACUGCAUCAUCUUAACUCAUUUUAACUGUGAAGAAUGUUUGAUUAGGCUGUGUUUAGCCAGGCAACCAAUUCUUAUCUU